UACAGAGGUCUCAAGCGUUGUUCGGAUUCAUUGGGCGUAAAGGGUGCGUAGGCGGCGCGGUAAGUCGGGUGUGAAAUCUUGGAGCUUAACUCCGAAACUGCAUUCGAUACUGCCGUGCUUGAGGACUGGAGAGGAGACUGGAAUUUACGGUGUAGCGGUGAAAUGCGUAGAUAUCGUAAGGAAGACCAGUGGCGAAGGCGGGUCUCGUGGACAGUUCCUGACGCUGAAGCACGAAGGCCAGGGGAGCAAACGGG
rnacentral:rRNA from 1 species